rnacentral:rRNA from 1 species
ACUCCUACGGGAGGCAGCAGUGGGGAAUUUUGGACAAUGGGCGAAAGCCUGAUCCAGCAAUGCCCGUGUGUGAAGAAGGCCUUCGGGUUGUAAAGCACUUUUGUCCGGAAAGAAAUCCUUGGCUCUAAUACAGUCGGGGGAUGACGGUACCGGAAGAAUAAGCACCGGCUAACUACGUGCCAGCAGCCGCGGUAAUACGUAGGGUGCGAGCGUUAAUCGGAAUUACUGGGCGUAAAGCGUGCGCAGGCGGUUUGCUAAGACCGAUGUGAAAUCCCCGGGCUCAACCUGGGAACUGCAUUGGUGACUGGCAGGCUAGAGUAUGGCAGAGGGGGGUAGAAUUCCACGUGUAGCAGUGAAAUGCGUAGAGAUGUGGAGGAAUACCGAUGGCGAAGGCAGCCCCCUGGGCCAAUACUGACGCUCAUGCACGAAAGCGUGGGGAGCAAACAGGAUUAGAAACCCCAGUAGUCCCAUG